rnacentral:rRNA from 1 species
GACGUAGGAAGCAAGCGUUGCCCGGAAUUACUGGGCGUAAAGAGCUCGUAGGCGGGGGCGUGCGUCCGAAAGGAAAUCUCAAGGCUCAACCUUGGGGCUUUUUCGGAUACGGCGCUUCUUGAGGGUGAGAGAGGAAAGCGGAAUUCCAGGUGUAGCGGUGAAAUGCGUAGAUAUCUGGAGGAACACCAGCGGCGAAGGCGGCUUUCUGGCUCAUUCCUGACGCUGAGGAGCGAAAGCGUGGGUAGCGAACGGG